CAGGUUGGCCGGGCGGUCGCGGCGCGGUCUGUGCCGCGUCGAGGAAAGUCCGCACUCCACAGGGCACGACGCCGGGGAAAUCCCGGGAGGGGGUAACCUCUCGGACAGGGCCACAGAAACAGACUGCCGGGGGCAGGGACUGGGGAACAGGGAACAGGAACUAGGGAACAGGGACUAGGGAACAGGGAACAGGUUUCCCUCUCCCCUCCUCUCUAACCCAAUCCCUAAUCCCUAAUCCCUGGUAAUGGUGAAAAGGUGGUGUAAGAGACCACCGGCGCGGGUGGUAACAUCCGCGGCCAGGCAACCCCCGUCGGGAGCAAGGCCAAGCAGGAACGAAGCCCUUCGGGGCGGGAGGCGGCCCGUCUCCCUUGAGUUCCGGGUAGGCUGCCCAGAGAGAUGACCGCCCAGGGGAGUUUCCUCCCUGGACAGAAUGCGGCUUACAGGCCGACCUGAGAC
rnacentral:RNase_P_RNA from 1 species